AAAUUUUUGACGCUAAAUGGUAAGGCGUCGUAUUACGGAUACGUCGAUUGUGGGUUCGAGUCCCUCACAAUGUA
rnacentral:tRNA from 1 species